rnacentral:rRNA from 6 species
CAGACCUCUAAUCGGAAAAGACUACCCGCUGAGUUUAAGCAUAUCACUAAGCGGAGGAGAAGAAACUAACCAGGAUUUCCCUAGUAACGGCGAGCGAACCGGAAAGAGCCCAGCUUGAAAAUCGUGGUGCCUCGUACCUCGAAUUGUAGUCUGGAGAAGGUCCCUCUGCGACGCGCCGGACCCAAGUUCCCUGGAAAGGGACGUCAGAGAGGGUGACAACCCCGUCGAGUCCGAAAUGCGUCGCUCCACGAGGACCUGUCUGCGAGUCGGGCUGUUUGGGAAUGCAGCCCUAAGCGGGUGGUAAAUUCCAUCCAAGGCUAAAUAUUGGCAAGAGACCGAUAGCGAACAAGUACCGCGAGGGAAAGA